rnacentral:rRNA from 1 species
AUGCGGGGGCAGGGGCAGAUCUCCCGCCGGCUGGUCGUGCUUGCGGCGGUGGCCGGGCUGCUGCUGCUGGCGUGGGCGCCGGGUGCGGCUGCCGUGGACGUCCAGGCGGUGCUCGCCCCGUUCCCCGACCUCGCCGGCUUCGCGCGCCUGCUCGCGUCCAGUCCCGUGGCCCGCGAGCUGGCCGGGCGGUCCUCGCUGACGCUGCUCGCCGUGCCCAACGCCGACCUCCCCCAGUCGCCCUCGGCGUUCGCGGCCGCCGCGGGCGCCGACCUCGCCGACGUGCUCCGCUACCACGUCCUCCUCGAGUACCUCUCCCCCGCCGACCUCCGCCGCCUCCCGGCCGCCGGGAAGCUGGUCACCACGCUGUUCCAGACCACCGGCCGCGCCUCCGCCGACCUCGGCGCCGUCAACGUCACGGCCGCCGGGCCGGGCCUCGGCGUCGUCCGCUCGCCCGCGCCCUUCCCCGGGUCCAACGCCACCGUGCUCGGCUCCGUCACCUCCGUGCCGUACAACCUGAGCGUGCUGGCCGUGGACGGCCUCAUCGCGCCCUCCGGCUUCGACCUGGCGGCCUCCGAGUCCCGCCCCCCCGCCGCCGUCAACAUCACCCGCGUCCUCGCCGACGCGCGCGGGUUCAACGUGGCGGCGUCCAUGCUGGAGGCCUCCGGCGUGGCGGAGGAGUUCGAGGGCGACGAGCGCGGCGCCGGCAUCACGGUGUUCGUCCCCACCGACGACGCCUUCGCCAGCCUCCCCGCCGGCGACCGGCUCCAGUCCCUCCCCGCCGACCGCAAGGCCGUGGUGCUCCGCUUCCACGUCCUCCAUUCCUACUACCCGCUGGGGUCGCUGGAGUCGAUCGUGAACCCGCUGCAGCCGACCCUGGCCACCGAGUACGCCAGCCAGGCCGGCCGCUUCACCCUCAACAUCACCCGCUCCAACGGCUCCGUAGCCAUCGACACCGGCGUCGUGCAGGCCACCAUCACGCGCACCGUCUUCGACCAGAACCCCGUCGCCGUCUUCGCCGUCUCCAAGGUGCUGCUCCCAAAGGAGAUGUUCACCAGGGCCGACUCGGCCGCCGUCGUCGCCGCGGCCCUGGCGCCCCCGCCGGCGGCCGCCAGCUCGAUGCCGCCGGAGCCGCCCGAGAGCGCGCGGACGCCGCCGACGAAGCUGUCCUCGCCCCCCGCGCUGCGCGGCGGGGCCAGGAACGGCACCGCGGUUUCGCCGCCGUCGUCGUCGGCGGCAAAGGCAACGGCAACUGGGCGGUGGUGUAUAGCAUUGUUGUAUGUACUACCAGCACUGCUGCCUCUGGUAUGA